rnacentral:tRNA from 1 species
GCCUGGGUGGCUCAGUCGGUUGAGCGUCUGACUUCGGUUCAGGUCCUGGUCUCACAGUUCGUGAGUUCGAGCCCCACGUCAGGCU